rnacentral:rRNA from 1 species
AACGAACGCUGGCGGCAUGCCUAACACAUGCAAGUCGAACGAGACCUUCGGGUCUAGUGGCGCACGGGUGCGUAACGCGUGGGAACCUGCCCUUAGGUUCGGAAUAACUCCCCGAAUGGGGUGCUAAUACCGGAUAAUGUCUUCGGUCCAAAGAUUUAUCGCCUUUGGAUGGGCCCGCGUUGGAUUAGCUAGUUGGUAGGGUAAAAGCCUACCAAGGCGACGAUCCAUAGCUGGUCUGAGAGGAUGAUCAGCCACACUGGGACUGAGACACGGCCCAGACUCCUACGGGAGGCAGCAGUGGGGAAUAUUGGACAGUGGGCGAAAGCCUGAUCCAGCAAGGACGCGUGAGUGAUGAAGGCCUUAGGGUUGUAAAGCUCUUUUACCCGGGAUGAUAAUGACAGUACCGGGAGAAUAAGCUCCGGCUAACUCCGUG